rnacentral:rRNA from 1 species
CCUACGGGAGGCAGCAGUGGGGAAUAUUGCACAAUGAGGGAAACCCUGAUGCAGCGACGCCGCGUGAGCGAUGAAGUAUUUCGGUAUGUAAAGCUCUAUCAGCAGGGAAGAAAAUGACGGUACCUGACUAAUAAGCCCCGGCUAACUACGUGCCAGCAGCCGCGGUAAUACGGAGGGGGCAAGCGUUCUCCGGAUUUACUGGGUGGAAAGGGAGCGUGGACGGCUUGGCAAGCCAGAUGUGAAAGGCUGGGGCUCAACCCCAGGAUUGCAUUUGGUACUGGCAUGCUAGAGUGUCGGAGAGGCAGGCGGAAUUCCUAGUGUAGCGGUGAAAUGCGUAGAUAUAAGGAGGAACACCAGUGGCGAAGGCGGCCUGCUGGA